AUAAUUUAUUGACCUUUUUAUUAAGCAUCUCCUCCUCCUAUAUGGUUUAUGUUGUGACAAGGCCCAAAAAAAUCAGAAAGCAGACAUGAAAAUGCAUACGUUAUUCAUUGUUUCUGGAUACAAAUAUCUAGGAUCUGAACUAAAUCCUGUCCACUAAACUAGGGUGAUGAAGGAACCACCCCAAAAGGGAAAACGCUAUUUGCAGGCGAAACA
rnacentral:misc_RNA from 1 species